GACUCCGAUUAUUAUGGAUUAUAAUAGUGUAAUUAUCAUUUUGCUCCUCAGUGCGUUAAAAUUUAAACCUUAGACCAAGGGGUA
rnacentral:sRNA from 1 species